GACGUAGGAGGCGAGCGUUGUCCGGAUUCAUUGGGCGUAAAGAGCACGCAGGCGGUUUGGCAAGUCGGAUGUGAAUACCAGAAGCUCAACUUCUGGCCUGCAUCCGAUACUGCCCGACUAGAGGUAGGUAGGGGAGAUCGGAAUUCCUGGUGUAGCGGUGAAAUGCGCAGAUAUCAGGAGGAACACCGGUGGCGAAGGCGGAUCUCUGGGCCUUACCUGACGCUCAGGUGCGAAAGCUAGGGGAGCGAACAGG
rnacentral:rRNA from 1 species